CACAUCACUUUGAAAAACCAGUUCCCGUAUGGUCACCGAAGUUAAGCAACGCCGAACCUGAUCAGUACCUUGAUGGGUGACCGCUUGGGACAAUCAGGUGCUGUAUG